GACGUAGGGCGCGAGCGUUGUCCGGAUUUAUUGGGCGUAAAGAGCGUGUAGGCGGCCAUGUAGGUCCGGUGUGAAAACUCGAGGCUUAACCUCGAGAUGUCAUCGGAAGCCAUUUGGCUAGAGUCCGGAAGAGGAGAGUGGAAUUCCUGGUGUAGCGGUGAAAUGCGCAGAUAUCAGGAAGAACACCAAUGGCGAAAGCAGCUCUCUGGGACGGUACUGACGCUGAGACGCGAAAGCGUGGGGAGCGAACAGG
rnacentral:rRNA from 1 species